ACCACGAUUCUCCACCCUGAACACUGGUGGGGCUGAAAAAUCUCACUCGAUUGCUUCUUUUUCAUCCAGUUUCCCCCUCACCAAAAAAAACCCCUCUUAUUAUCCACUCAAAAUUAAUCAAAAAAAACCCCUAUAUUAUUAUACAAGAAUUGAAGGUGAAAACCUUCUUUGGCUUCUGGUUUUGAUCCCACUUUAACUGUCUACUGAAAUGCCUCACGCGGCUACCGAAGCCCAAGUUGAGGAUGGCGGCUCUGCUUCUAAGCCAUAGCGCAUCAUCAAACUAAUCAAAACUACCGACGAUAGCGACAAAAAGGGUACAAACAGGAGAGUUAAAGAUAUUAAGCUUUGUGUUCCAAUUGCUUAUGGAACUAUUGCUUUUUAUCUUGGUCGAAAGGCUAGUGAUUCGCAGUCACAUAAGUGGAUUGUUUAUGUGCGUGGGGAGACAAAUGAAGAUCUUGGAGCAGUGAUAAAGCAUGUUGUGUUUCAAC